rnacentral:lncRNA from 1 species
AUCGCAGGGAGCGAAAACCACUGACGUGAAGCCGCUGCAUACAUCUGUAUCGGAGGAUUUGAAUGACUGGGAAUUCGCUGAUGAAGGCGAUCUGUUUAUGUCCGGUGGAGAGCCUAUGCCGAGAGUGGUGUUCGGUGAUGUUCCUACCUUUCAAGAAGCAAAGGAAGCUACUGCUGAAUUGAAAGAUGCUAUUGAUCAGUAAAUUUUUCUAUUUCAAUUUUUCAAUUAGGGUUUUUUUGUUUUCUUGUUGGAUAUUUCAAUAUUUUUGUUAGUUUCUUUUUUGGUUGAUAAUAAAUAGUCAAAGGGUUUUAGUCUGAGUUAGAUUAAUUAACUUCUGUUAUUUUUAUAAAACUAAGAUGUUUAAUUUCCUGUGAUUUAUGUUAGUUUUUGUCUGAUAUCUUCUUUUUUACCUUCCAGAAUUUACCUUUCAUCUGGUAAUUCUCGAUUUGAGGGCUCAUCUCCUGGUAGCGAACUAUCUGUUCUGUCUCCUCCUGCUAAGGAACCAGUGACCAAUUCUAAUUCUUGUCUUGUUGAGGCUAUUUCAAAUCCCUCAGUGCCUAAGCAUGCCAUUCAUGCUUUUCAAUUGCUUAGCUCAAGUGCUGAGGCCCAGGUGAUAUACCUUAUUUUCAUGUCUGGAUGAGAGAUAGUCAAUAUUAAUCAAUAGUAGCAUUUUUAAUCUUGUUAGUUAGUUAUGUGUAAUAUAUCGAAAUUUUGAUGAUUUGUUGAAUUGACAUUAUACACUUGUCUUUGG